rnacentral:rRNA from 1 species
ACCCCACUGCUAUCGGGGUGAGACUAAGCCAUGCUAGUUGAGCGCCUCUAAGCCACGUUAGAGGAGCAGCACACGGCUCAGUAACACACGGUUAACCUACCCUCGAGACGGAGACACCCCCGGGAAACUGGGGCUAAUCUCCGAUAGGUGAGGAGGCCUGGAACGGUUCCUCGCCGAAAGGGGAUGCAGGCCAUGCUUCUGCAUCCCGCUCAAGGAUGGGACCAUGCCCGAUCAGGCUGUUGGCGGGGUAACGGCCCACCAAACCGAUAACCGGUACGGGCCGUGAGAGCGGGAGCCCGGAGAUGGACACUGAGACAAGGGUCCAGGCCCUAUGGGGCGCAGCAGGCGCGAAAACUCCGCAAUGCGCGAAAGCGUGACGGGGUCACCCCGAGUGUCACCUGUUGAAGGUGACUUUUCUCCAGUGUACAAAGCUGGAGGAAUAAGGGGAGGGCAAGCCUGGUGUCAGCCGCCGCGGUAAUACCAGCUCCCCGAGUGGUGGGGGCGAUUAUUGGGCCUAAAGCGUCCGUAGCCGGCUCGGUAAGUUUCCCGUUAAAUCCGACGACUCAAUCGUUGGACCGCGGGAAAUACUGCCAAGCUAGGANGCGGGAGAGGCCGGCGGUACUUUCGGGGUAGGGGUGAAAUCCUAUNAUCCCGAAAGGACCNCCAGUGGCGAANGCGGCCGGCCAGAACGCGCUNNNNNNNNNNAACGCGCUCGACGGUGAGGGACGAAAGCUGGGGGAGCGAACCGGAUUAGAUACCCCGGGUAGUCCCAGCUGUAAACGAUGCGGGCUAAGUGUCGGGAUGGCUAUAAUGCCAUCUCGGUGCUGCAGGGAAGCCGUUAAGCCCGCCGCCUGGGGAGUACGGCCGCAAGGCUGAAACUUAAAGGAAUUGGCGGGGGAGCACCACAAGGGGUGAAGCUUGCGGUUUAAUUGGAGUCAACGCCGGAAAUCUCACCGGGGGAGACAGCUGGAUGAAAGCCAGAUUGAAGGUCUUGCUGGACUAGCUGAGAGGAGGUGCAUGGCCGUCGCCAGUUCGUGCCGUGAGGUAUCCCGUUAAGUCGGGCAACGAGCGAGACCCACACCCCUAGUUGCCAGUGGCGCUGGGAAACCGGUCCAGGCACUCUAGGGGGACCGCCGCCGAUAAGGCGGAGGAAGGAGUGGGCCACGGCAGGUCAGUAUGCCCUGAAUCCCUCGGGCCACACGUGAGCUGCAAUGGUAGGGACAAUGGGUCCCGACCCCGAAAGGGGAAGGUAAUCCCGAAACCCUACCUCAGUUGGGAUCGAGGGCUGAAACCCGUCCUCGUGAACAUGGAAUCCCUAGUAAUCGCGUGUCAUCAGCGCGCGGUGAAUACGUCCCUGCUCC